rnacentral:lncRNA from 1 species
CGGCUUAGGAUCAGGGUCUGGUGAAGGGGCAGGAGGCGCCAUGUCGGGCCGCGAAGGUGGCAAAAAGAAGCCCCUGAAACAGCCCAAGAAGCAGGCCAAGGAGAUGGACGAGGAAGAUAAGGCAUUCAAACAGAAGCAGAAGGAGGAGCAGAAGAAACUCGAGGAGCUAAAAGCAAAGGCCGCGGGGAAAGGCCCCCUGGCCACCGGUGGAAUUAAGAAAUCUGGCAAAAAGUAAGCUGUUCCUCACAUCUGGGGUGAUAGUGACCCUCCUCUUCCAUUCCUAUUUAAACAUCUGGAUUCCCUGCCAUAGCAUCUUUGCCACCUACAGCUAGAAUGAAG